rnacentral:rRNA from 1 species
AUUGAACGCUGGCGGCAGGCCUAACACAUGCAAGUCGAACGGUAACAGGAAGAAGCUUGCUUCUUUGCUGACGAGUGGCGGACGGGUGAGUAAUGUCUGGGAAACUGCCUGAUGGAGGGGGAUAACUACUGGAAACGGUAGCUAAUACCGCAUAACGUCGCAAGACCAAAGAGGGGGACCUUCGGGCCUCUUGCCAUCGGAUGUGCCCAGAUGGGAUUAGCUAGUAGGUGGGGUAACGGCUCACCUAGGCGACGAUCCCUAGCUGGUCUGAGGGGAUGACCAGCCACACUGGAACUGAGACACGGUCCAGACUCCUACGGGAGGCAGCAGUGGGGAAUAUUGCACAAUGGGCGCAAGCCUGAUGCAGCCAUGCCGCGUGUAUGAAGAAGGCCUUCGGGUUGUAAAGUACUUUCAGCGGGGAGGAAGGGAGUAAAGUUAAUACCUGUGCUCAUUGACGUUACCCGCAGAAGAAGCACCGGCUAACUCCGUG